AUAAGGUACGCCCUAGUAGUUUGACCACUUUACUGUGGAAGGACGAACGGGUUGCAAUAAAAUGGUGGCUGCGACUGUUUAAUAAAAACACAGCACUCUGCAAACACGAAAGUGGACGUAUAGGGUGUGACGCCUGCCCGGUGCUGGAAGAUUAAAUGAUGGGGUGCAAGCUCUUGAUUGAAGUCCCAGUAAACGGCGGCCGUAACUAUAACGGU
rnacentral:rRNA from 1 species